rfam:Streptococcus pneumoniae R6, complete genome.
GGUCUGGGGAUAGACCGUUUUAAGUCUGACGCUGGAAAUAAGAAUCGUCAGAGGAAGGGAUAGCGAAAUCGUGGCUUUACGAACAGGAACGUGAUAGUAAGGCGUAUAUAGCGGAUAAGGGGGUCUCAAACUCUAAAGUCCAAAAAGGUAGUCGUAACCUAUAUGCGUAAAUCACGAGAGUAAUUGAAUUCGUACUAAGAUUUUCUA